UUGGGCGACUAUGGCGAGGGUGAUCACUUCUUCCCAUUCCGAACAGAAUCGUUAAGCCCCUCAGCGCAGAUGAUACUAGAGUAAAAUCUGGGAAAGUAUGUCGUUGCCCCUU
rnacentral:rRNA from 1 species